rnacentral:tRNA from 1 species
GCUGCGGUAGUCUAACGGUUAGGAUGGGAGACUGUGGAUCUCCAGACGGGGGUUCGAUUCCCCCCCGCGGCC